GCUAGAGCUGGAGGAGAGUGGAUGGUGCUCUGGUCUGGCUGCUGGGACACCACCAGGACAAGGCCCUGAGCACAAGCUCAGCAAGUGGAAGAUGACAGACCCAAAGCUUUGCCUGCUUUAGGGGAGCAACAGAACUCCAAUAAUGGCAUAAGAGUCUGCGUUCAUCUGGGAAUCUCAGACAAAGCAGCCUGGAGGAAAAGCAUUUCUGUCGAAGAAGGUUUGUUUCAGCUGAAGCCCAAAGAGUACCAGAAGCAAAAACCACUGAGUAGACUGGCAAGAGGGAAAGACAAGCUGAAGCCACUGCAUAUUUUCCAGCGAGAUCACUUCCUGAAUGGGGCUUAAUGUGAAUAAUCAGUCUGAGGGGGAGAUCCAAAACCCACGUUUUCAGAGACUGUCUGUCUGAUUUCAGCAACCCUCAAUGACAAAACUGAAUUACGUUCAAGCUUGACAGUCAGCUAUGAAGGUUAUCUCAAGUAGUGACUCAGAAUACAAAUUGGACUAAUUAAUCAGAACCUUGAUUGUACUGUAUUUUG